rnacentral:ncRNA from 1 species
UAAACGGUCCUUUUUAGGACCAACAAAAUAAUAAAAACCCACUUGG